GCCAGUGGAGGUUGUGAAGGACAGGGGUGAUGUGGUCUCAGUAACUGGUGUGGGUGAGGAGGCGGGUGGCAGAGUUUGGAAUGUUUUGGAGUUUGUUAAGAAGACUGUCAAAGAUGACUCCAAGGUUCCGGCAAAGGGGUGAGGCUGGGAGGCUGGAGUGGUCAAAGGAGAGUCGGAGGUCUUUAGCUGUAGAGCACCUCAGCAUGCUUCUGGCUACUCCUCUCACUAUUUUUACCGACUUCUUCUGCGUAGGUCUGUUUUGACGCUUUGCAGACUCUAAACAACCUUGUACCCACUGAAAUCCAUUCCUGAAUCACCUCUACAACUUUUUCAACAUAAACAAAAUAAUAAACACGAAAAGCCAAGGCUGAAGUUCUUCUCUCCUAUUGUCGUCGGGACUAGAUGAAGUGCGGAGGCUCCAUAAGCUUGCUGCCCUCCAUGGCCUAUCACACGCUAAUCAAUCACACGGCUGAAAAAACGGCUGAAGAAACAAAAGUACACGGCCGCUCUGGCCAAGGUGAGAGAAAAUGAAAAUCUAUUAAAACACAGUCUCAAGACAACCGCGGGAAAUGUGCGACAACAGUGGAAAUGCUCUCAUUUGCGGCCCCUUGGAGAUAUGGCGACCUUGACAUCAUGGUUGUGAGGUGUGGUCCCCACCCUGUGUUUCAUUUCCUGUUUGCUCACCAAUCACAAACACCAUCGACACUGGUGGCAACCCGAGGGAAAUAUUAAUACCCAACAGAGAUCAAUAAGAGGCGCCUUUUCUUGAGAUCUACACUUGCAUGUACGCCAUGAAGCUGUCCUAUUACAACAUUGUGCCGUUUGCGUGCACUCAGAGGUAUGCUGUGUUUUGCAAGAGGUCUGUGCUCAACUAAUUGAAUUUCCACAUAGGUCUUGUCAUGAAUCAUGCUGCCAUAGACCUAGACUAGUAGGAGUAGCAGCAGUUACAGUGUUGGUCGUAAAAUGAAUGCUAAAGCCCAAGGAUAGUAAUUAUUAUUACUGCUUAUUAGCUACUGUGUCACCUCUGAAGUCCAAAGAAAGUUAGAUGCAGGAAUGGAUCAUUUGUAUUCCUCUUCAUUCCUAUCAAAAGAGGUUUUUUUUUCAGUGGACUAUUAAACCCCGAACCCCCUUUGCCGGUAUUGCAAAAGUGCUUGCUGAUGAGAGGUUCUGUCGGGUUUCUUUCAUCUAUCACGAACGUGCUCCUAAACCUGCUCCAUAUAGUGUUGUUUUUGGCAGCCAUUUUAUUUUUAGGCUUAGUUUUUUUGGAAAAAAAUGCUUCUCGUUUUAGUCACAUUUUAGUCCUUUCUUUAUGUGAUAGAUUUAGUCCCGAUUGAGUCAACAAAUUUCAAAAUGUUUUAGUAUAGUUUUAGUCAGUUUAAGUGAAAAAACAAACAAACAAGUAAAUAUAAUUUAAGUAAAUAAGUAUUUUAAUUAAGUACAUUUUAGUAUUUUAACAACUAAAUUGGAUGAGGAAAACUUCCGGGUACAAUGCUAAAAAAAAAUUAAAUACACUUAAAAAAAAUAUGUUGUAAAUAACUGCAUAGAAUUUUAUGUAAAUGCAUAUCAAUUUUGGAAAUAUGGGCCAUUAUUUUAUUUUAAAAAUAAUGUAGUUAUAAAACCCAUAGUGUUUGCAUGUUUAUGUUUGUUGCGAGCAGUGACCCUUCCAACUUUGGUCCACAGUCCUUGAACGCACAGUUGUGCGUGCGCUAACACGCUGCACAAAUAGACUACUAUACUGUAUUUUUCCCUUUUUUUGUUCACCUCAUAUACAGUGGAACCUCAGUUAGUGUGUUUUUCGGUUACCGUCCAAAAUUUACACUGAACUUGUGCUGCAGUUUGCUUACAUUUUCCUGUUAGCGCACUAUAUACAGUCUGCCCCCACAAACUCACAAAUAAGCUCCUCACACUUGGCCUGUCUCCCUCCCUCUGUAACUGGGUGUUUAACUUUCUCACAGGCAGGCCCCAGUCAGUCAGAGUCCACAAUCGCACAUCCAGCUCAAGAAUUGUGAGCACUGGGACCCCACAGGGGUGUGUGCUGAGUCCACUCCUCUACACGCUCUUCACCUACGAUUGCGUGGCCUCCCAGAACAACACCAGCAUCAUUAAAUUUGCGGAUGACACUACAGCCAUCGGCCUGAUCACUGGUGGUGUUGAAACAUCAUACAGAAGAGAGGUGGCACGAGGUGGCGGACCUCAUAGCUUGGUGUCGUGAUAACAAUCUCCUUCUCAAUACGGAUAAGACUAAAGAGAUGAUCAUCGACCCAAGAACAAGGGAAAAGGAGCCGCAUAGCCCCCUGUUUAUUGGUGAGACUGAGGUGGAGAGGGUGAAAACCUUCAAGUUCCUUGGCACACACAUCAGCGAGGACCUCACCUGGUCUCACAACACCCAACAAAUUCUGAAGAAGUCCCAAAGGAGACUGUACUUCCUGAGAAGACUGAGGAAAUUUGGCAUGUCCACCACAAUCCUGAGUUGCUUCUACAGAUGCACCAUCGAAAGUGUCCUUACCGCCUCCAUCACUGUUUGGUACGGUAACUGUACAACACGUGAUAGGAAGGCACUCCAGCGGGUGAUCAAGACCUCACAGAACAUUGUUGGGGCAGCCCUCCCCUCACUGCAAGACAUUUAUACAUCUAGAGUCCUACGCAGAACACACAACCUCAUCAAGGACAGCACACAUCCACAACACUCAUUAUUCACACUCCUACCGUCAGGCAGACGCUACAGGAGUUUGAAGUCCAGGACCACAAGGCUGUCAAACAGCUUUUACCCACAGGCCAUCAGGCUCCUCAACGAAGCACUCGCACACGCCCCACGCAACACACGCACACACUCAUAGCACUUUAGUAUUUAUUUAUUUAUUUAUUUGUAUUAUUUACUUGUAUUAAUGUCUCUUCUGUUGUUGUUGCUUAAUUUAUUGGUAUAUAUGUUUGUGUGUUUAUGUUUCUUAUGUUCUUAUUCUUUCAUUUGUUUUCUUUCUUUUCUUGGGAGAAUGAACAGAAUAAGAUUUUCAUUGCAUGGUAUAACUGCUGUUUUACUAUGCACAUGACAAUAAAACUCUCUUGAAUCUUGAA